rnacentral:rRNA from 1 species
AUUGAACGCUGGCGGAAUGCUUUACACAUGCAAGUCGAACGGCAGCACGGACUUCGGUCUGGUGGCGAGUGGCGAACGGGUGAGUAAUAUAUCGGAACGUGCCCAGGCGUGGGGGAUAACGUAGCGAAAGCUACGCUAAUACCGCAUACGAUCUACGGAUGAAAGCGGGGGAUCGCAAGACAGAGCGCGAUUGGAGCGGCCGAUAUCAGAUUAGGUAGUUGGUGAGGUAAAGGCUCACCAAGCCGACGUUCUGUAGCUGGUCUGAGAGGACGACCAGCCACACUGGGACUGAGACACGGCCCAGACUCCUACGGGAGGCAGCAGUGGGGAAUUUUGGACAAUGGACGCAAGUCUGAUCCAGCCAUUCCGCGUGCAGGACGAAGGCCUUCGGGUUGUAAACUGCUUUUGUACAGAACGAAAAGGUCUCUAUUAAUACUAGGGGCUCAUGACGGUACUGUAAGAAUAAGCACCGGCUAACUACGUGCCAGCCGCCGCCGUA